GCUCAUUUAGUAUAACGGUUUAUUACAUCUGUUUUGUAAUCAGAAGAUGGAGGUUCGAUUCCUUUAAUGAGCU
rnacentral:tRNA from 1 species